rnacentral:rRNA from 1 species
UACGGAGGGGGCGAGCGUUGUCCGAAGUUACUGGGCGUAAAGCGCGUGUAGGCGGGUUGCCAAGUCCGCUGUGAAAGCCCGAGGCUCAACCUCGGAGGGUCGGUGGAUACUGGCAGUCUUGAAGGUGCUAGGGGGAGAUGGAAUUACCGGUGUAGCGGUGAAAUGCGUAGAGAUCGGUAGGAACACCAGUGGCGAAGGCGGGUCUCUGGACAGUUCCUGACACUGAGGCACGAAGGCCAGGGGAGCAAACGGG